rnacentral:rRNA from 1 species
GAGUUUGAUCCUGGCUCAGAUUGAACGCUGGCGGCAUGCCUUACACAUGCAAGUCGAACGGCAGCAUGAUCUAGCUUGCUAGAUUGAUGGCGAGUGGCGAACGGGUGAGUAAUACAUCGGAACGUGCCCUGUAGUGGGGGAUAACUAGUCGAAAGAUUAGCUAAUACCGCAUACGACCUGAGGGUGAAAGUGGGGGACCGCAAGGCCUCAUGCUAUAGGAGCGGCCGAUGUCUGAUUAGCUAGUUGGUGGGGUAAAGGCCCACCAAGGCGACGAUCAGUAGCUGGUCUGAGAGGACGAUCAGCCACACUGGGACUGAGACACGGCCCAGACUCCUACGGGAGGCAGCAGUGGGGAAUUUUGGACAAUGGGCGAAAGCCUGAUCCAGCAAUGCCGCGUGUGUGAAGAAGGCCUCGGUGUAAGG